UUUGGAUAUCAAAUCUAAUUAGUUGAUUUUAAUUGGUUACUUUUUUGGAAAUUAAUAAUGUAUUUCGUUUUUUAAUUAAAUUUAAUUAAUUAAAUUAGUAUUUGACUUUUUAAUUUUUAAAGAGAUGAAUUAAUUUACUUUUUAAAUUUUAUUUCUAAUGGCAUACCUAUGUAAUUACUUACAAAAAAUAAGGUUAUAUUUAAAAUGUACUUCCCAAAUAAUAUAGUAGAAUGUGCUUUAGUUGGUUGAAUACAUAA
rnacentral:sRNA from 1 species